GUUGAAAUACCAGUGCCCAUACAAUCACUGAAGUUAAGCAACAUUGAGUCAAGUCAUUACCUAGUUGGGUGACUGCUUGGGAAUACCAGAUGCUGUAAG